rnacentral:rRNA from 1 species
GAUCCUGGCUCAGAUUGAACGCUGGCGGCAUGCUUUACACAUGCAAGUCGAACGGUAACAGGUUAAGCUGACGAGUGGCGAACGGGUGAGUAAUGCAUCGGAACGUGCCCAGUCGUGGGGGAUAACGCAGCGAAAGCUGUGCUAAUACCGCAUACGAUCUAUGGAUGAAAGCAGGGGACCGCAAGGCCUUGCGCGAACGGAGCGGCCGAUGGCAGAUUAGGUAGUUGGUGGGAUAAAAGCUUACCAAGCCGACGAUCUGUAGCUGGUCUGAGAGGACGACCAGCCACACUGGGACUGAGACACGGCCCCAGACUCCUACGGGAGGCAGCAGUGGGGAAUUUUGGACAAUGGGCGCAAGCCUGAUCCAGCCAUGCCGCGUGCAGGAUGAAGGCCUUCGGGUUGUAAACUGCUUUUGUACGGAACGAAAAGACUCUGGUUAAUACCUGGGGUCCAUGACGGUACCGUAAGAAUAAGCACCGGCUAACUACGUG